rnacentral:rRNA from 1 species
ACGUAGGGGGCGAGCGUUGUUCGGAAUUACUGGGCGUAAAGGGCAUGUAGGCGGCUUUGUAAGCCCGGCGUGGAAGCCCACGGCUCAACCGUGGGAUUGCGUUGGGAACUGCGAGGCUUGAAUCAUGGAGAGGGAGCUAGAAUUCCUGGUGUAGGGGUGAAAUCUGUAGAGAUCAGGAAGAAUACCAGUGGCGAAGGCGAGCUCCUGGCCAAUGAUUGACGCUGAGGUGCGAAAGUGUGGGGAUCAAACAGGAUUAGAUACCCUGGUAGUCCACACUGUAAACGAUGUGCACUAGGUGCUGGGGCGGAUGCUUCAGUGCCGGAGCUAACGCGGUAAGUGCACCGCCUGGGGAGUAUGCUCGCAAGGGUG